rnacentral:lncRNA from 1 species
UUUUUUUUUUUUUUUUUGAGUUUGGUUUUUAAAUAUCGUAUCAUUUUGUUUGUUUUUUAGCCUGCACUCUGGAUUCUAUAGACCUGGGUUCAAGUCUCUGUGCUCCUAUGACAUUUUUGGGGAAAUCUCCAAAUAAAAAUAUCAACCUCAUAGGGUUUCUGUAAGGAUCAAGUGAGAUAAUAAGCUUUGUAAACUAUAAAGUUAUCAUAUAAAUAUAAGGAUUUAUUAUUAUAGGAGUCUCUAGGGUUGGUUCCAUUUCCUCAAAAAUUGAUGCAUGUUUCCUUUUUUAAAAUGUGAGUAGACAGAGGUGCUGAUGGCUUAGUCAUUUAAGCAUCUGCCUUUGGCUCAGCUCAUAAUUCCAGGGUCCUGGGAUUGAGCCCUACAUGGGGCUCCCUGCUUAGCUGGAAGGCUGCUUCUCUCUCUCUCUCUCUCUCUCUCUCUCUCUCUCUGCCUGCCCCUCCCCCUGCUGGUGGGCUCUCUCUCUCUCAAAUAAAUAAAAUCUUUUAAAAAAUAAAUAAAGUGUGAUUAGAUAUAAAUGAAAAUUAAGAGCAGUUAUCUAGAAAGUAUGUGGUUUAGCCAAAGACUGGGUUUGGCAGAACAUGUUGAAAUAAUGCCCUGGGAAGGCUCUGGAUUAAAGAUCCUCAUUAUUCUGCCUUUUAUCCUUCCCUAAGUCUAUUUUCUCAAAAUCAAUAAAUCCCAUCUUCAGUAGACUGCUCUGUACGUACCUCAUGCCUAUCCCUCAUGUAUGAGUCAGCUGAGUCCCUGGAAUAUUAGGUCUUGAAAAGAAGACACUAUAUGAGUCAUAUAACCAUAGAGCUGAACAAGAAGCAUGCCAGAGAGUGAAAAGCCAUAGGAGAGCCUCUGAAAACUGACAGAAGCUGCCCAGACCAGCCUACGAACUGAGGGCCAGCCUGGGCCUGCCACUGAGUCAUCUAUCCCCAAGAACACCAGACAGCAGCUUCUAGGAUUGUGUGUUUGGAGGUUCUCUCAAGUGUGUAUUUCCCUAAGAUAUUUGUUGAUUAGGCAUAUCCAGGUGUAGCCUGUUCACUGCAUCCAGAAGAAUGUUCAGGGAAGUGGAAGUUCUAGAAAUGAGGAAGAAGCAAGCUAGUCAAUGGGAGGGUGCUCCUGGGACACAGGAAACCUGAAUUUACUUCCUCUGAGUUACUGUACUUUUUCCGGAUGUCAUUGCAAAACGAGAAGGGAUGGACAGGCCCAUCCUUAGGGCCUUGCCAAAUUGUGGGGGAUAAAUCUUUGCUUUUCAACAGGGAAUUUUCUGUCACUGAGUCACAGAGAUCCCAAUCAAGUUUUAUAAGUUUAUCACUUCUAUUUGACGAUUACCAAAAGUCAGAGAAAUUCCCUGGGACAUUACUGGGAAGGAUAAUGAAGCAUCAUCUCAUCAUCAUUGCUAUUAUUAUUAUUAUUAUUAUUAUUAUUAUUUUAUUAUUAUUUCUUCUUCCCAGACUCACAAAAUUAAUUAGUGGGGUUACUCUUAGGUUAUAGCCAACCUGAGAGCAUUUAAGAACUGUCAUAAAGAUCCUCGAUCACAAGUAACUCCCCAGCAGCCUGGAAUGCUGCCAGGGAUCUCGCCCCUUGGUUCUCUUCCCUUGGGCUGUCUCUGUUGCCUAUAAAAAUACAAAGAGUCUAAGGAGAGUUACACACUGUGUCAAUACUAGCUAGUUAGAAUAAAUGAUCUCAUGAAAUCCCACUAGCUGGAACAAAGCCUCCACAUGAAUUAUUUUGCUAGGUGAGGGGUGUGAUGGGAAGCAUUCUGCUGAGGGUCAGGAGGAGCCUUAGACCAGCUUUCCAUGGGGCCAGAAAGAUACCCUGGGGACAACACAAGAUACCCUCUAAGAUCUUAGAAAUAAUGUCAGCACAUUGCUCUCUACAUGUCAAGUAGAAGAUCGGCCCAUAAUAGGUCAAAUUAGAAAUACACACAUGGAAGAGGUAACAAGGCUACAAACUCUAUAACACGCAUGACCAGCGGUGUGCUACUUAGUGUUCAGCAACCAGUUUUCUGCGGGUGAGAGGGAUAAACUCCAUUUGUAAUGUUUGCCAAUUUCUCUAGUAUAAAUACUUGGACCGUGGCUAAUUUCAAGGUUCCAGUAUGACAUCACUGAAUGCAGAACGGGGAAGAGAUGCACAUGAUCAGCACUCCUGAGCUGGUGCAAGUCACUGGGAGCCACUCCACCACCCACAACUUUAUAACCCAUUUGGGUGCAUUAAGACAUAUAGAGAAAAGGUGUUUCCAGCAGACAGGGAGUUGAUCAGCCAUGGCAUGGUAGAGAAAGAAAGGUCACUAUGACAGACACCGACUAUGCCCAUAUGAGUAUUAUCCACAAGAGAGGAAGUCAUAGCAACUUGAACUUUGAAUAGUUCCAAGUCCAAAUCAAUCACCUGCCCUGUGAAGUGAAUGCAUCAGGUUAUUUUAGCAUAAUGCCAUUAAGCCUCAACUUACCUAACACCUCUUUUUCAAUCCCAUUCGGACCAUACAACCUUUGAAUCAUGACCUGGCUUCCUAGGUUGGCUUGCCUCCAUGGCAAGAGGAGGGGGCAAGAUAAAUAUCUACCCUACUUGCUCACGGACUGGCCCACAGCUUGAGUUAAGCUAUAUAAUGAUGCCCUAUAAAUACAUAAGGUGACUUCUAAUUCAUAAAGCCUUUUCACAUUCAUCAGUGGACUAUGUUGACCACAAAUAUUUUGUUUUUUGACUUCUUUAAAAAAACAGAAGCUCUGGUCACUGUAUUCCAGCCUUUUUAUAGGCUAUAAUCAGCUAGAGCUGAGUAGACAAUUUGUCAUGAGCCCCAUCAUUUCUUUAUCACCUCUCUGACCUGAUCUACUUCACUCAUUUAAGUUACUGCUUAGCUCCCAUAGGCACUUGGGUUUGCUAAUCCCUAACAUGACAUUUCUUUUUUCUUUUUUAUUAAAUUUAUUUUUUUAUUGGUGUUCAAUUUGCUAACAUACAGAAUAACACCCAGUGCUCAGCCCAUCAAGUGUCCCCCUCAGUGCCCGUCACCCAGUCACCCCCACCCCCCACCCACCUCCCCUUCUACCACCCCUAGUUCGUUUCCCAGAGUUAGAAGUCUCUCAUGUUCUGUCUCCCUUUCUGAUAUUUCCCACUCAUUUUUUCUCCUUUCCCCUUUAUUCCCUUCACUAUUUUUUUAUAUUCCCCAAUGAAUGAGACCAUAUAAUGUUUGUCCUUCUCCGAUUGACUUAUUUCACUCAGCAUAAUACCCUCCAGUUCCAUCCACACAUGACCUCAUUUCAUCCAUAUCUAUCCUGUGAGCAUUAAUUAUCCCAAUUUUAUAGAUUUUAAACCAAAAUUCAGAGAUUCAACUGACCUUCCUGACCUUCCUAUGAUUUCACAGUUAGAAGGUGAGACCCAAAUAUUAGAGUUUCAGGUUGUUUAGGGUAACUAAAUAGGGUUGCAUAGAUUGUGCACUGCGCAACUCUAGGAAUGCCUUUCACAUCAUAGUACAUGUGAAUGGAGCCCCCUAGAGUUGUAUAGUCCACACUAUACGUGAAAUCCUGAGACCAUUUUCCCUUCCACGUCACCAUAGUUAUAAUACUGUUGCAAAUUCAAAAUUAGUCAUUUCCUUCAAAUGUGUAUUAUAGAACAAAUACUCAGAUAAGUAAGUGAAAUGGUGAAUGAUCAGGUUGAAACAUAGACCAGUAAGUCUGAACACAGUAAGUCUUACCACAGAUAGACACAUUGUCCCACUGAUGGAAUCAAGGUAGUUAGGUGAAGAAUUGCUCCCUAGUGGCCACAAUCAUUUUAAGGGUGAUUUCAUUGUUUUGCUCUACAAGCAACCCAAUCUCUUUCUAGAUUUCAGGUUCCACAUGAUUAAAGGAGAGGUUUGCACUAAGUUUUCCAGUAUGACAGUAGUGCUUAAUCCUGGCUAAACAUUUAGAAUCACCAGGGAGAUUUUAUUUUUAUUUUUAAUUGAUGCUUAUGUCUCAUCCCUAAAGAUCUGGACUGAAACUUCACCAAAAGAGAUAUACAUAAUGUCAAAGAAGGGUGGGGGGCAAUGCGCAUGAAAAGAAAAGAUGCUCAAUACCAUCAGUCAUUAGGGAAAUGCAAGUUAAAUGUAUGGUGAGAUGUAUUGCAUACCCACUGUCCGCAAGAUUGGAGAGGAUGUGGAACCACUGGAACGCUCCUGUACUGUUGGUGAAAAUGUAAAAUGGUGCAACCACUUUGCAAAACUGUUUGGUACCUUCUUAAAAUUGAGCUGCCACUUGAUUCAGUCAUCCCACUGUGAGCUGUUUAUCCAUGAAAAAAGAAAGCAUAGAUCUAGACAAAAAUCUACACAUAUGUGUUCAGAGUAGCUUUCUUUGUAAUGGUCCCAAACUGGAAACAACUCAAAUGUUUGGUGACAGGUGAAGAGAUCAACAAGUUGUGGGAUAUCCCACAGUGGAAUUGUCACAUAAUCACAUAGGGAAAUCUCAAAAGAAUUUUGAGUUAAUGAAGCCAGAUGAAAGAAAAUGUAUGCACUAUAUGAUUCCAUUUAUAUACAAUUCUAGAAAAUAUAAAUUUAUCUACAGCAACAGAAAGCAGAUCAAUGUUUGUGGGGAUGGAGAAGGUAGGGAAGGAUUACAAAAGGUGUGAAGAAACCUUAGGACGUGAUGUCUAUGUUCAUCAUCUUAAUUGCAGUGAUGGAUCAGAAUAUGUAUUUAUGUCACAACUUAUCAAACUGUUUAACUAUGUGCUGUUUAUUGUAUCUUAAUUAUAUAGUGUAUAUAAUACAAUGCAUACCAUUACAGCUAUAUUAAAAAAUUGAUGCU